rnacentral:rRNA from 1 species
AUUGAACGCUGGCGGAAUGCUUUACACAUGCAAGUCGAACGGCAGCACGGGGCAACCUGGUGGCGAGUGGCGAACGGGUGAGUAAUACAUCGGAACGUGCCCAAUCGUGGGGAUAACGUAGCGAAAGUUACGCUAAUACCGCAUACGAUCUACGGAUGAAAGCGGGGGAUCGCAAGACCUCGCGCGAAUGGAGCGGCCGAUGUCAGAUUAGGUAGUUGGUGGGGUAAAGGCUCACCAAGCCGACGAUCUGUAGCUGGUCUGAGAGGACGACCAGCCACACUGGGACUGAGACACGGCCCAGACUCCUACGGGAGGCAGCAGUGGGGAAUAUUGGACAAU